GAUGAACGCUGGCGGCGUGCCUAAUACAUGCAAGUCGAGCGAAUGGAUUAGGAGCUUGCUCUUAUGAAGUUAGCGGCGGACGGGUGAGUAACACGUGGGUAACCUGCCCGUAAGACUGGGAUAACUCCGGGAAACCGGGGCUAAUACCGGAUAACAUUUUGAACCGCAUGGUUCGAAAUUGAAAGGCGGCUUCGGCUGUCACUUAUGGAUGGACCCGCGUCGCAUUAGCUAGUUGGUGAGGUAACGGCUCACCAAGGCAACGAUGCGUAGCCGACCUGAGAGGGUGAUCGGCCACACUGGGACUGAGACACGGCCCAGACUCCUACGGGAGGCAGCAGUAGGGAAUCUUCCGCAAUGGACGAAAGUCUGACGGAGCAACGCCGCGUGAGUGAUGAAGGCUUUCGGGUCGUAAAACUCUGUUGUUAGGGAAGAACAAGUGCUAGUUGAAUAAGCUGGCACCUUGACGGUACCUAACCAGAAAGCCACGGCUAACUACGUGCCAGCCGCCGCGGUAA
rnacentral:rRNA from 1 species